UACAGAGGGUGCAAGCGUUAAUCGGAUUACUGGGCGUAAAGCGUGCGUAGACGGUUACAUAAGUCGGGUGUGAAAGCCCCGGGCUCAACCUGGGAAUUGCAUUCGAUACGGGGCUAGCUAGAGUGUGGUAGGGGAGGAUCGGAAUUCCUGGUGUAGCGGUGAAAUGCGCAGAUAUCAGGAGGAACACCGGUGGCGAAGGCGGAUCUCUGGGCCAUUACUGACGCUGAGGAGCGAAGCGUGGGGA
rnacentral:rRNA from 1 species